UGAUGGAGUCCAGGUGAGUGUCAUGAGACAGAGUCAAUAACACCUGAGGAAAGAACCAGUGGGGAGGUGACAGAUACAGGGAAGAUAAUCAAGGAGGUGAUGGAGUCCAGGUUAGUGUCAUGAGACAGAGUCAAUAACACCUGAGUAAAGAACCAGUGGGGAGGUGACAGAUACAGGGAAGAUAAUCAAGGAGGUGAUGGAGUCCAGGUGAGUGUCAUGAGACAGAGUCAAUAACACCUGAGGAAAGAACCAGUGGGGAGGUGACAGAUACAGGGAAGAUAAUCAAGGAGGUGAUGGAGUCCAGGCAGGAUGAAGAAAUAUGUUUAAAGUUGCCCAGAGAAACAGACGUCCUGAGGCACACAUGGAGAGGCGGGAUGUUGCUUAGCUAGGAGCUGGUUUAGUGAAGUUGCCCAAAGAAACAGACAUCCCGAGGCACAUAGG